GAUCAUGUUUAAGUACAGAAGGUUCUUGAACUUUCAUUGAUGCAGUGGCUCUUCGCUUUGUUGACAAUGAAAUGUUCUACACUUUCUUUAAAAACAAAUGGUUUAAAAACUACCACACUUAACUGAAAAAAAAGCAAAAACAAAAAGUAAAUACUUUUCAAGCCAGCUGACCACCUUUUGUUCACAGCUAGGAAUGGUAGCAGAAUGCUAUGUGGUUAGAUACAGAAACAAGACAACCUGAAGCUAAAUGGAUGCCCAGUGCAUAGUCAACAGGCCCAGCCUCACAGUGCACAGCCUGAGCUACGGCCACUCCCAGAGGCAUCUUCUACCACAGCCUCAACAUCAAGCAAAGAGCAUCAAGAGUUUGUCUUGGUUGUUUUGUUCGUUUUACAAACUAUGGAUAUAUGCAAUUGAUAACUCAGGAUUUCUAGCUAAUAACCAUGUAGUUAACACUACCUUACAAAUUAAAAAAAAAAAAAUGCCAGAAGCACCUUUAAAUGCCUUAUCACACUAACAGCAAAGCACACAGAGUGAGGAGAGCAUGAAGUUGCCUUUUCAUUUUAAAAAUAUUUGGAAAUAUGUACAACUUUGAUAUAGUUUCAGGGUGCUCUAGACCCACUUGACCACUUCAUGUAAAGAGUUUCUAGUUUGAGAAACAACAAUAUGAUCAUAAUCAAACUUUGUAAUUAAAACUAAUGAGGGCAACAGAUACUUCUCAAAUAAGAGAUGUGUCAAUUACAGCUCUCCCCUACUUCAAGGCAGGUGUCCCCAACCCCUGGGCCAUAGAUAGAUACCAGUCAGUGGCCUGUUAGGAACCAGGCCACACAGCAGGAGGUGAGUGGCAAGUGAGCAAAGCUUCAUCUGUAUUUACAACCACUCCCCAUGGCUCACAUUACCAUCUGAGCUCCGCCUCCUGUCAGAUCAGCAGCAGCUCUCAUAGGAGAGCAAACCCUGUUGUAAACUGUGCAUACGAGGGAUCUAGUUUACCUGCUUCUUAUGAGAAUCUAACUAAUGCCUGAUGAUCUGUCACUGCCUCCCAUCACCCCCAGAAAGACUGUCUAGUUGAAGGAAAACAAGCUCUGGGCUCCCACUGAUUCUACGUUAUGAGGAAUUUCUCAAGAUUUUAUCUUUACUGAUUGAUUUCUAAGGGAUGCUACUUGCUUCUAACAUCAUGUUAAUCAGCAAUGUAAGCUCUGGCAUAGCUUACCAACCCUAAGAGUGGCAGGGAGUUGCUCUGUGUAAUGGUGGAGUACUCAGCUGUCUUCUCCAUGGUGGUUGAGUUCUCUGGAUGGGAUCAGCUUUCUUCACAUGUCACUGAAGUGAAAGGGGACAAUUGAAACCUAUUUUGACAGGUUUAAAAGCUAAAGCCAAGCCAGGAAGAGGAAGACAAGAUGAGAAACCCCAAAUCAAGGUAAGAGAAGAAAAUAAGUGCAACAUGCCAGAAAUCCAGUAAAGCAGUUCAAGUAUCAGAAGAGCGUGAAUCAAAACCAAGUGCAAGAAGAGGCACCUUGACAUUGAACUGAAGGCCACCAGGUACUCACUGGGUCAAUGACUCUUCUCAUUUUUAUUCUCCUGCCAGUGCUUCCAAUCGCUGAACUGAACUGGGAACAAAUCAACAAGGGAAACCAAGAGAUGCAUUCCUUGAAGUUCAGCCUCCAGGCCUCAAGUAAGGCAGAGGAAGAGAAUACAUAGAUCUGUGGAGAAGAGUGGUGAUGGUGGGAGCUGCCAAUAAAGAACUAUCAAAAAAGGAUGAUGCAACAGAAAAGCCGUCACCAGAUACCAGCACCUUAAUGUUGGACUUCUCAGCCUCCAGAACUACUUUACACCAGGAAGAGUUCCUUUUAAAAUUGGCCUGGGUGGCAGAGGUCAGAACAUACACAAUUCAACAACAACUUGCGCCACCCACCUCCAAUUCCCUGCUCUACAGGACCAUCCUGACUUCCACAGUGACCCGAGCACUGGCAUUCCAAGGACUCAAAUGACCACCUUCCUCGCCCUUCAAUAAGGUUGCCUGGAAUUCUUCUAAGUAACACUUAUUCCUACACAUUAGGGAUUUUUCACCUCACAUUUCCCUUGCCCAAGAGCAAAAAGCUCAGGGAAUGAUUGGCUUUUCAAGCUAAAGAGUGGGAGAGUCUGGGGCGGUUGAAGACAGUCUGGGUAGCAUUUGAGGGGAGGAGAAAUGCAAGUCCAGAGGUGGGGCUGCGGGGCAGGAGGGAGUGGAUAGCCAGAGUAAUAGGGCUACGGUGUUUGGAAGAUGUGGGAGAAACAUUCUGGAAAGACAGAGGGGAGGCACAAAGACAAAGGUGGCUUGCUUGCUCCAACAGCUGAGUUUACCCUGACAGGCUUCUGUGUUCACAGUGCCACCCUACCCUCCCAGCCCUAGAGGUGAACCGGUUGAUGGGUCAAUCUUGAGUAGGUCAGAUUAAUUUUUUUCAGGGCAAAGGAAAACACUGAAAAAAAGAGCUUAGCUAAUGUUUCCAGGGCACCUUGAGAAAAGUAUAAUCUAUAGGAAAUGAGAGUAUUGAUAAUAUUAGACCCUAAAUAAUACUAAAACCAUUUGAGUAAAAAACAAUGAUAAGACUUUGGGGCUGCAGGACUAUGUCUCUGAGUCUGGGGCCUGUUCAAGAAGUCCUGCAAGAAAGGAGAGCCAGUUUUACCUUUAGAAAAGCUCCUGUACUAUUUUCUUAGUUUGUAACUUUAACAGACAAAAGUUCAAGUUCUUCAUCCCGAGUCGGGGUGAUGUGAGGAAACUGUGACUGUGAAUCUCACUGUCGUUUAUUUUUCUUCAGUAUCUCUCAGUGAAGAAAGUAUUUGGAUGAAUGACAGAAAGCAUCCUGAACUGUGCACCUGCAAAAGAUAUUUCACACAUUCCUUUUUGGACAUUUUGUUAUUUUCCUCUAAGCCGAUAGCCUUUCCAUCUUGUGCAGGAAAGAUCAUUAAGUAUUUCAUAGGCAUAAACAUUUCAUGUUCAAAACUUUUGGUACUUCAGUUGUAAUAUUGUUAUUGUACUACAUAAAUCUAAAAUAAAACCAGCUUCUCUGCCCAGUACCUAUCAGCUGCAAUUUAGGGGAAGUGCCUUUAUAUUUAUAUCCUAUGGGCCCAAUCAGGUAGAAAGAGAAUUAUUCUUUAUCUUGUCUAAUGUCCCCAAAUCUCCCAGGUCCCAAGUCACAGAAAGGCAAUGUGGUAGCAUUCUUCUGGGGACUCAUCAGAUAUAUCCUCAAAGUACUUUUGUCAAAUACAUUAUUCUAAUCAAUGUGAAUCCUAAAAUGUUAUUAUUAAUAGUAUAGUUAUAUGUUGUCAAUUUUUUUUGGAAUAUGAAUCAUUUUUGUAAGUAAUAUGUCAUUUGAUUGUCUCAAAAAUUCUAUCAAGUUAUCCCAUUUUGUGGGUCAAAGAACUAAGGUUCAGGAACAUGAAGGGACUUGCUUCAAUUAAUUGGUCAGGAUGUGAUGGCGGGGAGAUUUGGAGAGGCUCCAGGGUCCAAGGUUGAGCCUUUGUGCUAUUCUAUGUCACUUGGCUUCUGGCAGAGCACAGAUCUUAGAUGUUUAGCUCUUCAGUCACAGGAUGGAGAGGAGGGAAAGUCAGAAGCACGGAGGCGGUCCUGUUGUGUAGCACUGAUUUUCAGAAUCUUCCCCCAACACUUCAUCUUCCUCCUUGUUCUUUUCCUGGCCAAGCCUUAAUUGACCAGUUCUACUUCUAGUUAAGGACCAAUUCCUUCUGGCCCAGUGCUACAAGGACAUUAGCAAUCCCACUCCUUCACGAAGCUGAUUGUGAGUCAUGCCAGUUCCUCCUCCAGGCAGAACCAGGUGUGGGCACUCUUUCUGAGCUCCGCAUCGAACAUGGGGACCUGUGAUGCAGUGUUUUCAGCUCCCACUGGAGAGAUGCAGAGAGGGCGAUUUAUCAGUGACAGUCAAAAAAGCUGGUUCUGCCUCUUUCUAGAGGCAGAUGCAGGGGCCUAGAUGUUGUUAUUAAUCAUUCGUAAACGGUUCUGUGUUCAAAAUAGCAGUGUUUAAAUAUUUCAGAACAGGUCCAGCCUCAUAAAAAGUGGGUUAUGGGCUGUCAUGAUAACAUUUCAUCUCCUUCACCAUGUUGUGGCCGAGAGAAAUAAGCUGUCACUGCCACUUGCAUCCCUGACCCUCCAACAUGCCAGGGCACAGCAGCCAAUGGAGUGUGCUGGCAGCAAGGCAGGGGGGAGAAAGGCAGGACUACUCCAUCAAGAUACCACCAUGAACCAAAAGGGCAAUUUUCCCAUAUUUAGGCUGCCUGUUUGGGUUAACUAUCAACCAAAGACCUUUGUUUUUAAACAGAACCUUUUUUCUCUUUCACAUUUGAUAAAUAAAAGCCUUAGACUGAAAUUCUUUCUGAUUUUACUGCUUCCUUUAAGUUUUACCUCAUGACAUUUUGGAUAGACUGAAUGAAAUCAUAGUUUAUUUCCCUCCCUAUUCCGGUGCCUACCCUGCCCCGCACCUUUCCCACUUUCCCAGUUCUCGGAAUCUGUCUGACGUAACUGUUUAGGGAAGAUGGUAUUAACCUGAUAGCAUCUGAGGAACACCUGCCUGCAUUAUCACUACUUUACUCUGAGUUAGAAACCCCGUGCCCUUUUCAAUAACAAGAACAGGGAGAAACCAUCGUGAA
rnacentral:lncRNA from 1 species